AAAUAAAAAAGCAUCUUAGGUAUGUUUCUCAUUUGUGACAGUGGAGUUGGCUUCAGGCAAGAGACCCACAAGCCCCAUGGACACUUCUUCCAUGACAAGCUUUUAUUCUGUCUCCAUUCUCCUCCCUGUAUCCAAGUCCAGCUCCUGAGAGAACUCAGUUCUCCCUUGAGAGAGACCUGCGCUGGCACUAUGGAAUAAGCAUGCUACAUUAACUUUCUAAAGGCCACUGGGGAACAAUUUACUGAACUGCAAACUUAAAGGUAAUGUAGUGCUAAGUGGUAUAUCCUUCUAUCCUUCAAAGACUUUAUUGGGCUCCUGUUUCUGGUGAUUAGGGUUGAGGUACCUCAUAUGUUUGUUUCACUCAAGUCUGGCUUUUGUUACAUGCAAAAUGAGAAGGCAGA
rnacentral:lncRNA from 1 species